UAAGUACUCCCUCCGUCCGGAAAUACUUGUCAUUGAAAUAGUUGUAUCUAGAUGUAUUUUAGUUUUAGAUACAUUCAUUUUGAUGACAAGUAUUUCCGGACGGAGGGAGUAGAUG
rnacentral:pre_miRNA from 1 species